rnacentral:rRNA from 1 species
AUAAUUCCCUACGGGGUCGCAGCAGGCGCGAAAACUUUACAAUGCGAGAAAUCGUGAUAAGGGAACCCCGCAGUGCCCGUAAAUCCGGGCUGUCCGCCAGUGUAAAUAACUGGUGAAGAAAGGGCCGGGCAAGACCGGUGCCAGCCGCCGCGGUAAUACCGGCGGCUCGAGUGGUGGCCGCUAUUACUGGGCUUAAAGCGUUCGUAGCUGGGCUGUUAAGUACCCCUGGGAAAUCCACCGGCUCAACCGAUGGGCGUUUCAGGGGAUACUGGCAGCCUAGGGACCGGGAGAGUGAGAGGUACCCCAGGGUAGGAGUGAAAUCCUGUAAUCCAAC